rnacentral:misc_RNA from 1 species
AAAAUGCAAUAAGUAGUGUAAAUUGCAGAAUUUAGUAAAUCAUCAAAUCUUUAAACGCACAUUACGCCCUUUGGUAUUCCUUAGGGCAUGCCUAUUUAAGCGUUAUUUAACCCUUCAAGCCCUGCUUGGUAUUAGGUGCCUAUCCCGCCCCCGCGCGUAGACUUACCUUAAAUCUAUUAGCGGCCCCCGCACAGCUACAAGCGCAGCAGAAACGCAAACUCGUAUGCCCGGCGGGCGGCUCCUAGAAGCUACAUCACCAUUUUAACCUUAGAUUAGGUAGAGAUACCCGCUGAACUUAA